rnacentral:rRNA from 1 species
UACGUAGGGCGCAAGCGUUAUCCGGAAUUAUUGGGCGUAAAGAGCUCGUAGGCGGUUUGUCGCGUCUGCCGUGAAAGUCCGGGGCUCAACUCCGGAUCUGCGGUGGGUACGGGCAGACUAGAGUGAUGUAGGGGAGACUGGAAUUCCUGGUGUAGCGGUGAAAUGCGCAGAUAUCAGGAGGAACACCGGUGGCGAAGGCGGCCUUCGUGGACAGUGACUGACGCUGAGAUGCGAAAGCGUGGGGGAGCAAACAGG